rnacentral:tRNA from 1 species
GUGUGCGUAAUUUAAAGAAAAUAUCGGGUUGUGACCUUGAAAAUAGAUGAACCUCGCACAC